CGCGAAUUCGCCCUUCGGGGUGCACCAGGCGCGAAAACUUUACAAUGCGGGAAACCGUGAUAAGGGGACACCGAGUGCCAGCAUCAUAUGCUGGCUGUCCGGGUGUGUAAAAUACACCCGUUAGCAAGGGCCGGGCAAGACCGGUGCCAGCCGCCGCGGUAACACCGGCGGCCCGAGUGGUGAUCGUGAUUAUUGGGUCUAAAGGGUCCGUAGCCGGUUUGGUCAGUCCUCCGGGAAAUCUGAUAGCUCAACUAUUAGGCUUUCGGGGGAUACUGCCAGGCUUGGAACCGGGAGAGGUAAGAGGUACUACAGGGGUAGGAGUGAAAUCUUGUAAUCCCUGUGGGACCACCUGUGGCGAAGGCGUCUUACCGGAACGGGUUCGACGGUGAGGGACGAAAGCUGGGGGCACGAACCGGAUUAGAUACCCGGGUAGUCCCAGCCGUAAACGAUGCUCGCUAGGUGUCAGGCAUGGCGCGACCGUGUCUGGUGCCGCAGGGAAGCCGUGAAGCGAGCCACCUGGGAAGUACGGCCGCAAGGCUGAAACUUAAAGGAAUUGGCGGGGGAGCAC
rnacentral:rRNA from 1 species